rnacentral:rRNA from 1 species
GACGAACGCUGGCGGCGUGCUUAACACAUGCAAGUCGAACGGAAAGGCCCUGCUUUUGUGGGGUGCUCGAGUGGCGAACGGGUGAGUAACACGUGAGUAACCUGCCCUUGACUUUGGGAUAACUUCAGGAAACUGGGGCUAAUACCGGAUAGGAGCUCCUGCUGCAUGGUGGGGGUUGGAAAGUUUCGGCGGUUGGGGAUGGACUCGCGGCUUAUCAGCUUGUUGGUGGGGUAGUUGCUUACCAAGGCUUUGACGGGUAGCCCGCCUGAGAAGGUGAACGGCCACAAUGGGGACGAGAAACAGACCAGACUCCUACGGGAGGCAGCAGUGGCGAAUAUUGCACAAUGGGCGGAAGCCUGAUGCAGCAACCCCGCGUGCGGGAUGACGGCCUUCGGGUUGUAAACCGCUUUCGCCUGUGACGAAGCGUGAGUGACGGUAAUGGGUAAAGAAGCACCGGCUAACUACGUG